AGUGAACGCUGGCGGUAGGCCUAACACAUGCAAGUCGAACGGCAGCUCAGUAAGAGCUUGCUCUUACGGGUGGCGAGUGGCGGACGGGUGAGGAAUACAUCGGAAUCUACUUUUUCGUGGGGGAUAACGUAGGGAAACUUACGCUAAUACCGCAUACGACCUACGGGUGAAAGCAGGGGGUCUUCGGACCUUGCGCGAUUGAAUGAGCCGAUGUCGGAUUAGCUAGUUGGCGGGGUAAAGGCCCACCAAGGCGACGAUCCGUAGCUGGUCUGAGAGGAUGAUCAGCCACACUGGAACUGAGACACGGUCCAGACUCCUACGGGAGGCAGCAGUGGGGAAUAUUGGACAAUGGGCGAAAGCCUGAUCCAGCCAUACCGCGUGGGUGAAGAAGGCCUUCGGGUUGUAAAGCCCUUUUGUUGGGAAAGAAAAGCAGCAGGUUAAUACCCCGCUGUUCUGACGGUACCCAAAGAAUAAGCACCGGCUAACUUCGUG
rnacentral:rRNA from 1 species